CUGAACUGAAAGUGUCUCUGUAUGAGCAUUUAGUUUUAAUUUUUAAUUACAUUUUUCUUGGAAGCUUAUAGGGUGUAUUGGGAUAGACAGAGCUAAUGCAUCAAACAGCCCUCAAAACGAUUGGCUCCAACACAAGGUGAUUUCUUCUCAUAGACUAGUCCAAGUUGGACGUUUCUUCCUAUUGGAUGGCUAGUUUCCAUGUGUUGAUAUAAGGACCCAAGAUCCCCGCUUGUGCCUUUCUGUUAUCUCUGUCAUCAUCAGUGUCCAACUGCACUUGUUCUCAAGAACCAAUCACAUGAUCACAUGAAACCACAGGAGAGACAGGGAAGAAGAAAUGAAUUUUGGUGAACAGUUAGCAAUCUCUUCCACACUGAGUGUCUUCAACAUCAGAUUACUGCCCUCCUUUGUCUCUAUUUACAUGAGAACACUAUUUUCAUAUUCAUCACAGCAAAUGCUGCUCCUGUGGGAGAGGAGACCAUUUAGGAUUUAUUCUCUGCAUGGAAGCUCAGAGAUAAUGGCAAAGGAGGAAUUUAGAAUUCUGGGUCAUCCCAUUUGACUCAAGAGAGCUAUCUUUUAAGAUCAUCUCCACUCAAGGCAGUGAAAUGUCAUUGAAUAGCCAAAAAAGUUCUAAUAACUUCACUACUGAGUUAGUGAGUGAGUGAGUGAGAGUGUGUGUGUGUGUGUGUGUGUGUGUGUGUGUGUGUGUACAACAGCAGUUGCAAACUCAAUACCUACGAGGUCCAGACAAUAUAAUGCACAAAAUAAUGGACAAUAUAAUGGACAAUAAAAUUAUGAGGUCCAGGUAAUAUAAUGAGGGAAAUAGCCUGAAUGCAUACUAUGAUGAGACAGAAAGUUCUAGAAUGACACAGUGGGCAGUCAUUUUUCAGCAGAGUUUUUGCAUGGUGGAAAUGUGAGCCUAAUAUCAGACUGAUUUUCUAGAGAUGUUGGAAAUGCAGAUUUUAAAAAAAUAAGAUGAAAAUCUCCUUACUUUUAAAUGUUGGCAACUAAUCCUAAUAAAAAUAAUACUACAGGUCAAACAAGACACAUCUGUGAGCUCUGUGCAGGCUUAGGAGCUGGCAGUUAUGGACCUCUGACGUACACGACGUGAGAAGAGGGAACACCAAGUUCUUAUUUGUCCAGCUGGCUCGAAGCUGUUAGGAUGAGCCCUGCAGCUGGAUGAAGGUAAUAUUUGCACUCAUCAGACUUGCGGAAUGUACCAACAUUCUGUGCUGUUUGAACCAGGACCACUGCCAGGAAAAUGCAACACACAAGAAUUGUUCCAGUUAUGAAGGAAAGGGGAAGAGAAAAACUCAUUCCUCUUUUUUUCCUUUUCACUGAAACAAGACUACAAUGCCUCUGGCCAAAAGUCAGUGAAACACUGCGGCCUGCCAAUGAAUAUGGACAAAGUUCAUUAGCAUCUGGAACUGAAGCUUUACGGACAGUGGCCGAUAUAGCAUUGUAACUUCCCCCCUUUUUUAAUUGCCAUUGGACUUAUAAUUAAUAAUAAAGCUUGACUUUUGUUCUUCUGUUUUCAUCUUCCAAAGUAUAAUAAUUACAAACUGAACUUUAAGUAAUUCUUCCAUUAGGAGCUAUUCAUGCAAAAUUAGAGGAUUGUUUAGAUGAAGCUUGACUUGUCCUCCUUUUCUUUCCUUCCAACUGUGUUGGCUUGAAUUUCAGUCAUGAGGGGUAGGAGGUCGUAUUUGAAAAUAAAUGAGAA